CCUGCAUGAAGUCGGAAUUGCUAGUAAUCGCAGAUCAGCAUGCUGCGGUGAAUACGUUCCCGGGCCUUGUACACACCGCCCGUCACACCAUGGGAGUCGGUAACACCCGAAGCCUGUAGUCUAACCGCAAGGAGGACGCAGUCGAAGGUGGGAUUGAUGACUGGGGUGAAGUCGUAACAAGGUACC
rnacentral:rRNA from 1 species